rnacentral:rRNA from 1 species
GACGAAUGCUGGCUGCGUGCUUAACACAUGCAAGUCGAACGGUGAAGGGGAGCUUGCUCCCCGGAUCAGUGGCGAACGGGUGAGUAACACGUGGGCAACCUGCCCCUCACUCUGGGAUAACUCCGGGAAACCGGGGCUAAUACCGGAUACGACCGGGAGCGACAUCGCUCCUGGUGGAAAGAACUUCGGUGAGGGAUGGGCCCGCGGCCUAUCAGCUAGUUGGUGGGGUAACGGCCCACCAAGGCGACGACGGGUAGCCGGCCUGAGAGGGCGACCGGCCACACUGGGACUGAGACACGGCCCAGACUCCUACGGGAGGCAGCAGUGGGGAAUAUUGCGCAAUGGGCGAAAGCCUGACGCAGCGACGCAGCGUGAGGGACGAAGGCCUUCGGGUUGUAAACCUCUUUCAGCGGGGACGAAGCGAAAGUGUCGGUACCCGCAGAAGAAGCACCGGCUAACUGCGUGCCAGCCGCCGCCGUAA